rnacentral:rRNA from 1 species
UACGUAGGGGGCAAGCGUUAUCCGGAUUUACUGGGUGUAAAGGGGGCGCAGACGGAUGGCCAAGUCUGAAGUGAAAACCCACGGCUCAACUGUGGGCUUGCUUUGGAAACUGGUGAUCUUGAGUGUCGGAGGGGUAAGCGGAAUUCCUGGUGUAGCGGUGAAAUGCGUAGAUAUCAGGAAGAACACCGGUGGCGAAGGCGGCUUACUGGACGACAACUGACGUUGAGGCCCGAAGGCGUGGGGAGCAAAC